CAUCACCAUUUUCAUCGUCCUCUACGUUUUUCUUUCUUCAUCUCCGCCUCUUAAAACUCUGUACUUCUUAUUCAUAUUUGUUCUCAUUUCCGUGCCGUUCAUUUCUCCUGCCACAUUCACUCUUCGUCGUCCUCGCCAACAAACUGCCAUCAGCCAUCCUGCUUUUGCUGUUACUGUUAAUUGAGCUGUUACUUCACUAGCUGGUGUUUGUGUGGAUGCUUGGCAGCCAGAAGACUCCUGACCACAGGCAACACUGCUGGGAAGGAAGAGAAGUUACAAAGUCAUUUGUAGUCAUCUGUAGUCCUGUCUUGGUGAAUGAAAUACAAACAGGAGUAUACAAAUAUGGUGGACAUGCCAGAAAGUAAUGAGGUUGUGACAAGAACCAUUCCUGUGUGGAGGCAAGAAAGAAUCUUAGUGAAGACAAUGAGUGAGACGGACAUCAGUGCUGAUGCAAUGCAACUGUCACUACACCUACUGGUCUGUGCAGUGAAGACAUAGUGAGACACUCCACUUGCUGCAGGGACAGUAAAGAAGGCUGGCUGAGCAGGGAGCCAUCUGUGGUGGUGGUGUGGGUAUGGUACCUGUGGAUGGACUGCUAGCCACUGCCACCACCUUGCUUACUUGAAUCUGUCAAGAGAACAUUAUUUUAUAAAUAAAGAUUCUUUAAUUCUAUAAA